CCUACGGGGGGCAGCAGUAGGGAAUAUUGGGCAAUGGGCGGAAGCCUGACCCAGCCACCCCGCGUGAACGAAGAAGGUCCAUUGGAUUGUAAAGUUCUUUUGUCUGGGAGUAAGGCGCUGUUAGACAGCGAUUGUAGGUACCAGGCGAAUAAGCACCGGCUAACUACGUGCCAGCAGCCGCGGUAAUACGUAGGGUGCAAGCGUUGUCCGGAUUUAUUGGGUUUAAAGGGUGCGUAGGCGGGUUUGUAAGUCGGUGAUGAAAUGGCGGGGCUCAA
rnacentral:rRNA from 1 species